rnacentral:rRNA from 1 species
CUCGGAUCAGGUAGGGAUACCCGCUGAACUUAAGCAUAUCAAUAAGCCGGAGGAAGAACUUACCAUUACCUCAACUGGCGGGUUUUCAGCGGUGCUUUUGUGCCACUGAUGCCACUGUUUGAGUUCCCAUGCUUUUUGCGUACAAUUGUUUUUCCAGCGGGGUUUCUGCCUACGGAUAUCAAUCCAUUUGUAUUUGCGUCAUGUCGAAAA